AGCCACUCGCCAACCGGGUCAGGUCCGGAAGGAAGCAGCCCUAACGAGAUCCGGCACGGGUCAUCGU
rnacentral:SRP_RNA from 1 species